rnacentral:rRNA from 1 species
CAGCAGCCGCGGUAAUACCGGCGGCCCGAGUGGCGGUCACUAUUAUUGGGCUUAAAACGUCCGUAGCCGGGUUGGGAAGUCCUCCGGGAAAUCUGGCCGCUUAACGGUCAGAAUGCCGGAGGAUACUCCCAGCCUAGGGAGCGGGGGAGGCCGAGGGGAUUCCCGGAGCAGGGGUGAAAUCCUAUAAUCCCGGGAGGACCACCUGUGGCGAAGGCGCUCGGCUGGAACGCGUCCGACGGUGAGGGACGAAGGCCAGGGGAGCAAACCGGAUUAGAUACCCGGGUAGUCCUGGCUGUAAACGAUGCGGACUUUGUGUCGGACAAGCUAUGAGCUUGUCCGGUGCCGGAGGGAAACCGUUAAGUCCGCCGCCUGGGGAGUACGGCCGCAAGGCUGAAACUUAAAGGAAUUGGCGGG